AAAAUGAAAGCAUCUCUUAUUUCAGAGCCUUGUCUAAUGUCAGUAUAAGUUACAUAUUAUAGUAAAGAUGGUUUUAAGUGUCAAUAAUUGUUAGUGUUACUAUAAAAGAAAUAGUAUACAUUACAGAUUGUGGCGACGAGGAUAAAGUUUUAUAGUAAAAAGAGUACUAAAUUUUAUCUUCAAGUUUUUCAGGUAUGUUUCACGACUAGGCCUAGCUUCUAUUCCAGUCAAGAAGAUAAACGUACUAUUAUAAAUUAAAAGUGACAGACUAUUUUCGAUUCAUUUUAAAUUUUAGUAACUUAAUCUUUCAAGUUGAUAUUUUUUUCUGAAAGUUUUAAGCCUAAAAACUUGAAAUAUAGGCCUACAGGAACUUUCAACUUUCAUGUUUGAACAAACUUUCAUGUCUGAACAGACUUUCAUGUUAGAACAAACUUUCAUGUUCAUCGAUUUGCAUGUUAGGCAGAACAUUGCAAUGGUGUUUUAGUGAUGUCACUUGUAGGUAAUAUAUCUGAAUUUGAUGAUUCUUGUGAAGAAUGGGACUUAUAUGUACAAAGACUGGAACAAUAUUUUAGAGCUAACGACAUUACUGAUAAUGGCAAGAAGGCGAGUGUCCUACUCUCUGUUGUGGGUAGGAAGGCUUUUAGAAUUUUACAUGAUUUAUGUCAACCAGACAAGCCUGGAGACAAGAAGUACACUGAUUUGGUAUCAAUAUUAAGUAAUCACCUAAAUCCUAAACCUUCUGAGAUAGCGGAACGCUAUAAGUUUCAGCAUGUUAGACAGGUAAGUGGCCAAUCAAUUUCAGACUAUGUGGUCUCACUUCAAAGGGCCGCUAAACACUGUAAUUUUUCUCAAAGAGAUGUCUCCUUACGUGAUCAAUUUGUUGCGGGACUCCUUAGUGAUGUGGUGAAGAAGAAGCUUUUCACAGAGGUUGAUAGUGAAAAGUUAACUUUUAAAAAAGUUGUUGAAAUCGCGUUAGGCGUGGAAUCUGCUGACUUAAAUACUGCUACCUUACGUCAGCCUACAAGUAAUAUUAACUACACUAAAAAGAGUCGCUUUAAUCAAAAUGGGAGGAAAUCUGGGUCAUUUCAAUCAUCUGCUACGAGUGGGUCGAAGUCUACCUAUGAUGGGUCUUCACAGGGACCACGGACCACACUUCAGUAUUCUCAGAGCAAACAUUUUGUAAAUAGUAGUAAUAAGUCUAAUCUCUCUCACAGACAUCAGUCUAAAUAUUGUAAUUGUUGCGGUAGAUCGAAUCACAUAACCUCAAAAUGUAGGUUUAGUUCUUAUUCUUGUUUUCAUUGUAACACAAAGGGACAUUUGUCCAAUGUUUGUCCUAAAAAGAAAAACAGUAACAAAGUAAAACAUCAUAACCUAGAAGUUGAUGAUAACUUAGUAGAAGACCCAGUGGAGUUAGUUAGGCCUAAUGUUGAUUUAAAUGACGAAUCACAAACCUCUGAGUUUGAGUCCUCCGAAGGAAUUUUUAACAUUAAUAUGAGUUUCAAUGAGGUAAAACCUAGUCUUUGUAAGCCAUAUACUAUGUGUGUGACUAUUGAGGGUAAAAAGUUGUCUAUGGAGUUAGAUACGGGUAGUCCUAUAUCUGCAAUUUCAGAUAAAGUUUAUGAAAAGGAAUUCAAGCAUGUUCCAAUUGUCAGUACUGAUCUUGUGCUAAGGUCAUAUGAUGGUAGCCUUAUUAAACCAAUGGGUUUUUUGAAUGUAAAUGUUCAGUAUGAUAAAACUGUCAAAAAUGAUUUAAGUUUGUAUGUAAUCUCAAAUGGAGGUCCAGCUUUGCUUGGCCGAGAUUGGCUAAGUAGCCUAGGUAUUGGUAACCUGAACUUAAACAAUGUAAAAGUUUCUCCAGAAACUAACCCAAGAGUCGAGGACAUUUUCCCUGAAGUAAAUGAAGUUUUCUCUGAAAAACUAGGAACAUUCAAUAAAGGUAAGGUUAGCUUACAGUUAAAAUCUGAUUCUCACCCUGUAUUUUUUAAGCCAAGACCUGUGCCUUUUUCUCUUGUGAAAAAAGUUGAAAAUGAGAUUGAUAGGCUAGUAAAUUGUGGUAUUCUUGAACCAGUUGAAACUAAUGAGUGGGGAACGCCUAUUGUGGCAAUUCCAAAAUCUGAUUCUAGUAUAAGAUUGUGUGGUGAUUAUUCUGUAACGCUUAACCCUUGUCUAGUUGUAGAUCGCUAUCCUUUGCCUAAGAUUAGCGAAUUGUUAAAUAAGUUGUCUGGAGGUAAAAUAUUCAGUAAGAUUGAUUUGAAACACGCUUAUCAACAAAUUUUACUUGACGAUGAGUCAAAGAAACUAACAACCAUUUCUACGAGUAAAGGUUUGUUCAUGUACACAAGAAUUCCUUUUGGAAUUACUUCAGGGCCUAGCAUUUUUCAAAGAAUUGUAGACCAGUUGGUAAUUGGUAUUGAAGGAACGGUAGCGUUUCAAGACGAUAUUUUGAUCUCUGGUAAGAACGAUUCAGAACAUUUAGAGAACCUCAAACAAGUUUUGACUAGACUAAAUGAUUGUGGUUUAACAGUACAUAAGACCAAGUGUGAAUUUUUUCAGACUUCAAUCAAGUACUUAGGGUACAUUAUUGACAGUCAGGGGCUGCACACAGAUCCUGAUAAGGUAAAUGCUAUAGUGAGUGCUCCAGCACCAUCAAAUAUUACAGAAUUGAAAGCCUUUUUAGGCCUUGUUAACUUUUAUGGUUGUUUUGUGCAGGACCUUGCAUCAAUAUUGCAUCCUCUGUAUCAACUGUUGCGCAAAGAUGUUGACUGGGUAUGGUCUAAGAAAUGCAAUGAUUCUUUUAACAAAGUCAAAGAACUCAUGACUUCUGUUGAUUUUUUGGCUCAUUACGAUCCUAAUUUACCAUUGAAAUUAUCAUGUGAUGCAAGCUCUUACGGCUUGGGGUGUGUUCUUUCAACAAUCUUAGAGUCGGGCAAAGAACGUCCAAUCGCGUUCGCGUCUAGAGUUUUGUCAAAAGCCGAGAAAGGUUAUAGUCAGACGGACAAGGAAGCUUUGUCGAUUGUUUUUGGGGUCAAAAAGUUUAAUCAAUAUCUUUUUGGGCGUCAUUUUUCACUUGUAACUGAUCAUAAACCGCUUUUGAGUAUUUUUGGGAAGAAAAAGGGCAUUCCCCAAAUUGCCGCUAAUAGGUUGCAGCGGUGGGCAUAUUUUCUCAGUGCUUAUGAUUACUCUGUUAUUUUUGUAAAGUCUUCAGAUCAUGGUAAUGCUGAUGGUUUGUCCAGAUUGCCGCUCGAUGUAAAAGGUAAUGAUAAUCUUGAUGAUUAUGACUUUUUACAAUUUAUUCAAGAAGGAUGUGUACCGUUGAGUUCUAAAAAUGUAGAAUGUGAAACCAAAAAAGAUGAAAUUCUGUCUUCUGUAUUAAGGUAUGUACUACAUGGUUGGCCAUCAAAUAUUGAUGGUAGUGUGAAAUCUUAUUUUUACAAAAAAGAUGAAUUGAAUGUAGAAGCAAAUUGCCUCAUGUGGGGGUACAGAGUUGUAAUUCCUAGUAGUCUUAGGCCUAGCCUAUUAGCUGAAUUACAUAAAAAUCAUUUAGGAAUUGUAAAAAUGAAAAGUAUUGCCAGGUCAUGUAUGUGGUGGCCGGGAAUAGAUAAGGAUAUUGAGAAUGUCUCAAAUCUUUGUGAUUACUGUAACAAUUCAAGGCCUAAUCCGCCUAAAACUGUUUUGCAUAGUUGGAAUAUACCCGAGAAACCUUGGGUAAGAGUACAUGCAGAUUUUUUUGGUCCUAUCAAUAACAAAAUGUAUCUUUUAGUAAUUGAUGCUUAUUCUAAGUUUUUGGAAGUCAUUCAGAUGAAUAGUAUAACAAGUUCAGCAACUAUGGUUCAGUUGAGAAAAAUCUUUGCUAGGUAUGGUUUACCUCAAGUGUUUGUAACAGACAAUGGAAGGCAAUGGACUUCUGAUGAGUUUUCUAAAUUCAUGUCAAACAAUGGUGUUAAGCAUUUAUUUACUGCCCCAUAUCAUCCAGCAACUAACGGUGCUGCAGAAAAUGCUGUUAAGUCUCUCAAAAAGUGUUGUAAAAUAGCUAAAGAAUCAAAUGUAGAUAUUGAAACUGCCAUUGAUAGAUUUUUGUUUGAUUAUCGUAACAGCCAACAUUGUACAACUUGUGAAUCUCCAUCUAAACUCAUGUUUGGUCGCUCGUUGCGUACUAGGUUUGACCUGCUUAGACCUUGUAAAAAUGAAAAUUGGCAUCGCAAUGUAGAGAAACAAAAAGCAAGUUUUCAUGGUAACAGGACUGUUUCUUUCAGUGAAGGUGAAUUGGUGUUAGUCCGUGAUUAUCGUCCAGGUCGUAGGUGGAGCAAGGCUCGCAUUGUUAAUCCCUUGAGUCCUGUUUCCUUUGAAGUGAUCAUUUUAGAUUGUGACACAGUUUGUAAACGACACGCUGACCAAAUUUUGCCUUUGAAUGUGUGUCAAGACAAUGUUUAUGUUGGUGGUGACAAUAACGUAACGUCUGUAGAGUCAGUAACUAGUGACCUAAACGAAACUUUAUCUGUAGCUUCUCCCUUAAAAUCUCCGCCUGUCACUAGUACACCAAUUGUGCGUUCCGGCAGAAAUUCUUUGUCACCGGUUAACCAAGAUCCAAGCAGGCCUAACAUAGCAACUAGUCCUAUAAGCUCUUGCAAACAACCAAGUCCGGUUCAUGUUGAACCUGAAAGAAGGUAUCCUUUGAGAGAUAGAAUUAAAAAGAAAAUUUUGGAUAUGUAACCUUGUGUUUUCAGGGAAGAAUGAGUUCAUAAUAUAUAGAUCAUGAGUUAUUGAGUUUUUAUUGUUAUGAAAGAUAUGUUUUAUUUUCAGUUAAAGUAAAUUCAAGUAAAUUGUUUAUUGCCUUAUUUCAAUUUUAUGUUUAGCCUAUAUUAUAUACAAGAUGUAUUAAAUUUUGUACUUUAGAUUAAAAGAGAAGAUUUGUUGAUUUUUGUUGUACCACUUGUAAUAAUUUCCUUUGCUCUACGUUUGUUAAAAAUUAUAAAAUUUGAUGGUUGUUAAAUUCAUGUUAGUUAAAAAUUAUUGUAACUUUUGGAGAAUUACAGUAGCCUAAGAAUUUUAACAGUGUUCUGUUCUAUUGUUUUUGUUAGAUCAUGUAAACUUGAUUCUUAUUUUAUAUUAUUAUGUGUAGGUCAAAUUCUUUUCAUUUUGUUUUACUGCUUUAUCUUUGAAGGGGAGGAUGAUGUAAUAUAUGUGCCUUAUAAUUUGUUAUAACUUGUAUACUCUAUGGGCUGUGCUCCCUACCUCAAUUCGUAAGAAUAAAGCUCUCUAUGUUCAACCAUCAAAAUGAAAGCAUCUCUUAUUUCAGAGCCUUGUCUAAUGUCAGUAUAAGUUACAUAUUAUAGUAAAGAUGGUUUUAAGUGUCAAUAAUUGUUAGUGUUACUAUAAAAGAAAUAGUAUACAUUACAGAUUGUGGCGACGAGGAUAAAGUUUUAUAGUAAAAAGAGUACUAAAUUUUAUCUUCAAGUUUUUCAGGUAAUAUAUCUGAAUUUGAUGAUUCUUGUGAAGAAUGGGACUUAUAUGUAC